UGGGGAAUAUUGCACAAUGGGCGCAAGCCUGAUGCAGCCAUGCCGCGUGUGUGAAGAAGGCCUUCGGGUUGUAAAGCACUUUCAGCGAGGAGGAAGGGUAGUGUGUUAAUAGCACAUUGCAUUGACGUUACUCGCAGAAGAAGCACCGGCUAACUCCGUGCCAGCAGCCGCGGUAAUACGGAGGGUGCAAGCGUUAAUCGGAAUUACUGGGCGUAAAGCGCACGCAGGCGGUUUGUUAAGUCAGAUGUGAAAUCCCCGCGCUUAACGUGGGAACUGCAUUUGAAACUGGCAAGCUAGAGUCUUGUNGAGGGGGGUAGAAUUCCAGGUGUAGCGGU
rnacentral:rRNA from 1 species